ACACGAGUGGCGAACGGGUGCGUAACGCGUAUGCAACCUACCUUUAACAGAGAGAUAGCCCUGAGAAAUUGGGAUUAAUAUCACAUAAUAUCAUAAUGCAGCAUUGUAUAAUGAUUAAAGCUCCGGCGGUUAAAGAUGGGCAUGCGUGACAUUAGUUAGUUGGUGAGGUAACGGCUCACCAAGACUUCGAUGUCUAGGGGUUCUGAGAGGAUUAUCCCCCACACUGGUACUGAGACACGGACCAGACUCC
rnacentral:rRNA from 1 species